CCAGACUCCUACGGGAGGCAGCAGUGGGGAAUCUUCCGCAAUGGACGAAAGUCUGACGGAGCAACGCCGCGUGAGUGAUGACGGCCUUCGGGUUGUAAAGCUCUGUUAAUCGGGACGAAAGGCCUUCUUGCGAAUAGUGAGAAGGAUUGACGGUACCGGAAUAGAAAGCCACGGCUAACUACGUGCCAGCAGCCGCGGUAAUACGUAGGUGGCAAGCGUUGUCCGGAAUUAUUGGGCGUAAAGCGCGCGCAGGCGGAUCAGUCAGUCUGUCUUAAAAGUUCGGGGCUUAACCCCGUGAUGGGAUGGAAACUGCUGAUCUAGAGUAUCGGAGAGGAAAGUGGAAUUCCUAGUGUAGCGGUGAAAUGCGUAGAUAUUAGGAAGAACACCAGUGGCGAAGGCGACUUUCUGGACGAAAACUGACGCUGAGGCGCGAAAGCCAGGGGAGCGAACGGGAUUAGAUACCCCGGUAGUCCUGGCCGUAAACGAUGGGUACUAGGUGUAGGAGGUAUCGACCCCUUCUGUGCCGGAGUUAACGCAAUAAGUACCCCGCCUGGGGAGUACGACCGCAAGGUUGAAACUCAAAGGAAUUGACGGGGGCCCGCACAAG
rnacentral:rRNA from 1 species